rnacentral:rRNA from 1 species
GACGAACGCUGGCGGCGUGCCUAAUACAUGCAAGUUGAGCGCUGAAGGUUGGUACUUGUACCAACUGGAUGAGCAGCGAACGGGUGAGUAACGCGUGGGGAAUCUGCCUUUGAGCGGGGGACAACAUUUGGAAACGAAUGCUAAUACCGCAUAAAAACUUUAAACACAAGUUUUAAGUUUGAAAGAUGCAAUUGCAUCACUCAAAGAUGAUCCCGCGUUGUAUUAGCUAGUUGGUGAGGUAAAGGCUCACCAAGGCGAUGAUACAUAGCCGACCUGAGAGGGUGAUCGGCCACAUUGGGACUGAGACACGGCCCAAACUCCUACGGGAGGCAGCAGUAGGGAAUCUUCGGCAAUGGACGAAAGUCUGACCGAGCAACGCCGCGUGAGUGAAGAAGGUUGUCGGAUCGUAAAACACUGUUGGUAGAGAAGAACGUUGGUGAGAGUGGAAAGAUCAUCAAGUGACGGUAACUACCCAGAAAGGGACGGCUAACUACGUG